rnacentral:tRNA from 1 species
CCGUCGAUAGCUCAGUUGGUAGAGCGGUGGACUGUAGAAGUACCCAAUACUGACAUCCAUAGGUCGCUGGUUCGAAUCCGGCUCGACGGA